rnacentral:rRNA from 1 species
UACGUGAGGGGCGAACGUUGUUCGGUGUCACUGGGCUUAAAGGGCGCGUAGGUGGUUGCGUAAGUAACGUGUGAAAUCCCUCGGCUUACCCGGGGAAUUGCGCGUUAUACUGCGUGACUUGAGGACCAAAGGGGAAAAGGGAACUCCAGGUGUAGCGGUGAAAUGCGCAGAUAUCUGGGGGAAGGCCGGCGGCGAAGGCGCUUUUCUGGUUGGGACCUGACACUGAGGCGCGAAAGCGUGGGGAGCAAACAGG